UCCGCGCCGCUGGUUCUCCACCUCCCCUCCCUCUCCUCACUACAGGACGCCGCCGGGCGAAGCUCGGCUCGCGUCGGCGGCGCCGGGGUCACUCUCCUGCCUCGAGCAGCGUCGGCGGCGCGGGAUGCAGCGGGCUCGGCCUGUGUCACCGACGCGAGUGUCCCUCUCGAGCGGCGGCGGUGGCGGAUUCAGCUGACGCGGGCCGUGGCGGCGGCGGCGGCGGUGGAUGCAGCGGGCUCGGCCUGCGUCGGCGGCGGCGGGUCCAUCUCCUUCCUCGAAUAGCAGCGGGCUCGCGCCCCACGAUUUAUUCGACUCCGGCGAUUUGUCAACUUCUGCUUUAGCGGCGCCGCAACGGAGCACUCUGUCGGGCCCCUUGGCGGGAUCGGCGUCCGGAUCAUCUCGCGCCUCCGCAAGGGGGAUGGGACUGCUCGGGCUCAUCUGCAAGAGCCCCUCGCCGCCAUGCCGCCUGCUGCCGCUGACACCGUCAACGGGAGCGGACGAGCAGGAGAGAUCCUGUCGAUCUGAUGGCGAAAGGGCGAGAUAACCGGCUCCUGUAUGUUUUGGAAGGUCUACCUCGAGAUAAAUUUGGACACCGGCAAGCUCCUCUCAGUAAAGCAAGUCGUGGGAUUUGGGGAUUUGCACGUUUUGGUUUUCUGGUUUGUACGUAUUGUCUAAAGACUUGGAGUCAUUCGUUGCAGGUUACACCAAGUCUCUCCUUUGUUUGAUUUUGGUUUCAGCUUUGAUCGGGAGCACCAACCGCGAGCUGGGAGAAAGCCCAAAGAACUCGAGGAAGAAGUGAAGCUCCUCAUUUUCUGUGAAGAAGUACCUUGAGACUGUCCGUGAGGAAGACACGCUGAAUAUCUUGCUUGAUUUUGUUCCCCGCCCACUGCACGCCGCUGUCGAGAACACCUCUGCUACCUCCUCCCAAUCUCCGCCACAAGAUUCUCCGUCCAGAUCCUGGGCGAGGAAUAAAAAAAUUAGUUCUUGAAGCUUCUCCAUCAUGCCGGACGGACAACUGUAUCCGGCACCGUCGCCAUCGCUUAUGGAGUUCCACACCAUUGCCCAGUUGUACGAGAGCAUGUUCAAUCUUCUCCAUUCAAGACUAUGCAAGUGGUGAACUCUGCCAAACAAGAAGAUAUGAGGAUAUGGCAUAUAUGCCCCAUAAGGUAGCUAUAUGGUAAUUCAUGUAUUGUAGUUUGGAUUACGGUCACACUUUGAAGGGUAAGUAGAUGAUGCUCAAUGACAUAACCUGCACUGAUCUUCACAGUCAUAUCAUCUGAUAGAAGUUUAUUGAAUUUCAUUUAAAUUUUGUUGUAUGUUAUCCAUGAUGUAAGUGGAGAUAGGAAGUUAAACAAAAUUAAAAAUUGCAGCACAAAGGGGAUGUCCACCAAUGAUUUGACAUGAUAAGAUGUUAGUGAAGCAUGGCAAACUAUGACAUUAGCAAAACUUAUAUUUACAUAUAUUCAUAUAUAUGAAUUUUGGAAAUGUGCAUUGCACGUAUAUCGUACUUCUCUUCACUAUUCAAAAUACUUGUACCCAUUAUGAUUUCAUUUUUUAUUAUUUACCUUGAAGGAGUAUUAUAUUAAUGUUAUUUGUUGUCCACCUUGAUCCUUCACUGCUAUUUUUCCUACUAAGCAACUUUGCAUGGAGUUAAGAUCAUUUCGUAAGAUUCUGAUAUGUUUUUCAAAUUCGCUUCCUUUAUGCAUGAACCUAUCAUCAAGAUUUAGACCUCUUAUAUGGUGCAUGUAUGCUGCUGUAAGAAGAAAUGUAAUAUUGUCCUCAUCAAUUUCUUUCUUAGCAUGCACAAUGUGUUACAACAUCAA